UUGGGAAGUAGAUUUAAGAAGAGUUGUGACUGAGCUUUACCAUCUUUUUGAUUCAGGCCUUUUACCACAUUAAAGUCAGAGUUGGGACCGCAGGCCCAUGACACUGACACCGAAAGAAAUCUCUCGAUUGAACAAUGCUCAAGCCAUCAACUUUUUGUGGGGACUCUUCCAGAGCCUGCACCAAUAAGCAAAAAAGUUUUGUGGUUAUCCGAAUCAAUGUGCCAAUUCCUUGUCAAGAAAGUAUAUAAGAAAAAAAGAAUAAUCAUUUGUGCUUCUAGUAACUUUCUUCGAGAAAAGAAUAAUUUUUUUUUUUAGAGAUUCAAGUCAAAUAAUCACCACAGCCACAAGAUUGGAAGUUUUGAGAUUCUUUUUCCGGGGAACAAUCCAUUGUCAAUCAAUCUAUUAACAGGAAAGCACUCUCAAUAAGCUCAAGAGAUUAGAUUGAGACCAUAAGUUGCCUAACUCAGUACCUUUUCCGGUAUUAAUUAGGUCUCACUUUGAUUAAGAUAGGAGACAACUAAUCAUACAUGUUUAGCAACAUCACCAAACCUUUUAACUAGUUUUGUUGGAACUACUAAUGCUUGGGAUACCUGCGGUGCAAGCACAUGUACUGCCCCGUUAAAUUGAAAGGAAUCCAGUUAAAUUAUUCGUUGACCUGCAAAGAUUCAUAUUAAAGACAAAUGGUCCCCAACAGAACCAAAAAGAAAUGGAAGCUUAAUCCUUGCAUCAGAACUUACAGUCACCUGCAUGGAUCAGAAUUGAUGCAUAUCUUUUGUGAUCAGAGAUGGAAAGGACGAAUUGUUUAGCUUUCAGCUCCAGAAUUGAGGUCAAGUCUCCUUCUAAACUCAUCGCUCAUAACAUAAGCUUCACUUAAAGCAUUCUGUGAAGAAGCAAUCAAAUAUAAGAAACACUUUUCAUGCAGACACUCUUUAUAAACAUGUCAUUUGAAGCGCGCAUCCAGGCGUUUGUCUGUGAACCAUUUGCUCUGUGUCACGUUCUGUCCCUCUGCUUUUGCUUCUCUUCUGAACAUGCGUACGAGGACCAUGGCUUUGAGCAAUAUCGCUCCUGUAGUGUCUACCACAGAACAUGAACGCCACAGUGAGGAAGCUGACAAAACCCACCUUUGAAGCCUGAACGCAAAGGUGGUGCAACUCCUUGACAACAAAAAUGCCGGAAGAGCAAUAUUCCCGGGCACUAGUUACAAAAUGUGAUUGGCAAUUCUCUCCAAACCAAUGCAGAUCUCUUGUGGAAUUAGAAAAACAAUGUGGCGCUUCCCACAGAGUGAAAACAGAGUACUGGAAAUGUCUCACAAGUUCACCGAAGAGUUAAUUUACUGGAUGUGCCAUGUGCAGCUCAUAUGUUGUUGCGCUGUUAACUUUGGCACAGACAGCGUGUUAAUUCUUGUAUUGUCAACAGAUGACAAGGGAAAAUUGUACUUCAAGAAACGUAUAAAACUGUCGGUGUGUUUCCAUGUUACUGGAAGUACAAGUACAGGGGACAAAUAUAAGUGGAAAAAAGGCUGCAUCGAUGUUGAUAUGAGUUAUUAAAUGGUAGAACCAUCUCCUUUAUUGCUAUAUGAAGAGAACAUAUUACUCUAUUAGUAAGAUUCUUUUGGUGAAGAGGCCUAUUUGAGAUUCAAGGAACUAUAUCCACCUUCGCAAGAGCUUUAUGAUCGUCAAUAUAUAACCAAAUAUUUUGAUGAUAUUAAAAAAUAUUAUUUAAGUGAACUCGGAUGGAGUUGCUUUUGUGCUAUGCUUAAAAAGUAUUAUUCUUUUGGUGAUGAUAUUUUGACCAAGGCACCCACUGAGAGAGUGAUAGGCACAAAGACACACCACCUUACGUGCAUUAAAUCGUGAGCUAUACUCCUUACCUACUAAAUCUUUGUUUUUUGGGGGACCAUUUGGUGAUCAACGCUAGCAAAGAUGAAGUCAUAUGAAUCGAAAUCAGAAGCAAUGGCAAGCGUGGAGCGGUAAGUACCAGAGUGGGUGGAUAACUUUUCUCACCUGUGAGACAGACGGAGAGAUAGGAAGGUGGUCG
rnacentral:lncRNA from 1 species